GGAGAAGCUGUCCUCUGACUACACAUGCAAGUCGAACGAUGAACCACUUCGGUGGGGAUUAGUGGCGAACGGGUGAGUAACACGUGGGCAAUCUGCCCUGCACUCUGGGACAAGCCCUGGAAACGGGGUCUAAUACCGGAUACGAGCCUCCAGGGCAUCUUGGGGGUUGGAAAGCUCCGGCGGUGCAGGAUGAGCCCGCGGCCUAUCAGCUUGUUGGUGAGGUAACGGCUCACCAAGGCGACGACGGGUAGCCGGCCUGAGAGGGCGACCGGCCACACUGGGACUGAGACACGGCCCAGACUCCUACGGGAGGCAGCAGUGGGGAAUAUUGCACAAUGGGCGCAAGCCUGAUGCAGCGACGCCGCGUGAGGGAUGACGGCCUUCGGGUUGUAAACCUCUUUCAGCAGGGAAGAAGCGCAAGUGACGGUACCUGCAGAAGAAGCGCCGGCUAACUACGUGCCAGCAGCCGCGGUAAUACGUAGGGCGCAAGCGUUGUCCGGAAUUAUUGGGCGUAAAGAGCUCGUAGGCGGCUUGUCCCGUCGGUUGUGAAAGCCCGGGGCUUAACCCCGGGUCUGCAGUCGAUA
rnacentral:rRNA from 1 species